rnacentral:rRNA from 1 species
CACGUAGGGCGCAAGCGUUGUCCGGAAUUAUUGGGCGUAAAGAGCUCGUAGGCGGUCUGUUGCGUCUGCUGUGAAAACUCGGGGCUUAACCCCGAGCCUGCAGUGGAUACGGGCAGACUAGAGGUAGGUAGGGGAGAAUGGAAUUCCCGGUGUAGCGGUGAAAUGCGCAGAUAUCGGGAGGAACACCGGUGGCGAAGGCGGCUACCUGGACAGAAACUGACGCUGAGGCGCGAAAGCUAGGGGAGCAAACAGG